rnacentral:rRNA from 1 species
UACGGAGGGUGCGAGCGUUGUCCGGAAUCACUGGGCGUAAAGGGCGCGUAGGCGGCGCGGCAAGUCUGUGGUGAAAGCCCGAGGCUCAACUUCGGGUCGGCCAUGGAUACUGCUGCGCUCGAGCACUGUAGAGGCAGGUGGAAUUCCGGGUGUAGCGGUGGAAUGCGUAGAGAUCCGGAAGAACACCGGUGGCGAAGGCGGCCUGCUGGGCAGUAGCUGACGCUGAGGCGCGACAGCGUGGGGAGCAAACAGG